GCCAGGAAUGGUGGCACAUGCCUGUAGUCCCAGCCUCAGGAGGCUGAGGCUAGAAAAUCUCUUGCCUCCAGGAGUUCUGAGCUGCAGUGUGCUAUGCCCAUUGGGUAUCCGCACUAAGUUCGGCAUCAAUAUGGUGACCUCCCGGGAGGUGGGGGACCACCAGGCCUAAGGAGAGGUGAAUAGGCCCAGGUCCAAAACAGAGCAGGUCAAAACUCCCGUGCUAAUCAGUAGUGUAAUUGUGCCUGUGACUAGCCACUGCACUCCAGCCUGGGCAACAUAGUGAGACCCCGUCUUU
rnacentral:SRP_RNA from 1 species